GAUGAACGCUGGCGGCGUGCUUAACACAUGCAAGUCGAACGAUGAAGCCCAGCUUGCUGGGUGGAUUAGUUGCGAACGGGUGAGUAACACGUGAGUAACCUGCCCUUCACUCUGGGAUAAGCCUGGUAAACUGGGUCUAAUACCGGAUAGGAGCGUCCACCGCAUGGUGGGUGUUGGAAAGCUUUAUCGGUUUUGGAUGGACUCGCGGCCUAUCAGCUUGUUGGUGAGGUAAUGGCUCACCAAGGCGACGACGGGUAGCCGGCCUGAGAGGGUGACCGGCCACACUGGGACUGAGACACGGCCCAGACUCCUACGGGAGGCAGCAGUGGGGAAUAUUGCACAAUGGGCGCAAGCCUGAUGCAGCGACGCCGCGUGAGGGAUGACGGCCUUCGGGUUGUAAACCUCUUUCAGUAGGGAAGAAGCGAAAGUGACGGUACCUGCAGAAGAAGCACCGGCUAACUACGUG
rnacentral:rRNA from 1 species